rnacentral:rRNA from 1 species
UCAUAAUAACUUUACGGAUCACAUUAAAUGUGACAUAUCAUUCAAGUUUCUGACCUAUCAGCUUUAGACGGUAGGGUAUUAGGCCUACCGUGGCAAUGACGGGUAACGGGGAAUUAGGGUUCGAUUCCGGAGAGGGAGCCUGAGAAACGGCUACCACAUCUAAGGAAGGCAGCAGGCGCGCAAAUUACCCAAUCCUAAUACAGGGAGGUAGUGACAAGAAAUAACAAUACAGGACUUUUUGGUUUUGUAAUUGGAAUGAGUUAAGUAUAAACCCCUUUACAAGUAUCAAUUGGAGGGCAAGUCUGGUGCCAGCAGCCGCGGUAAUUCCAGCUCCAAUAGCGUAUAUUAAAGUUGUUGCAGUUAAAAAGCUCGUAGUUGGAUUUCUGUUAAUAAUUUAUAUAAAAUAUUUUGAUGAAUAUUUAUAUAAUAUUAACAUAAUUCAUAUUACUAUAUAUUUUAGUAUAUGAAAUUUUACUUUGAGAAAAUUAGAGUGCUUAAAGCAGGCAUAUGCCUUGAAUACUCCAGCAUGGAAUAAUAUUAAAGAUUUUUAUCUUUCUUAUUGGUUCUAAGAUAAGAAUAAUGAUUAAUAGGGACAGUUGGGGGCAUUUGUAUUUAACUAGUCAGAGGUGAAAUUCUUAGAUUUGUUAAAGACAAACUAAUGCGAAAGCAUUUGCCAAGGAUGUUUUCAUUAAUCAAGAACGAAAGUUAGGGGAUCGAAGACGAUCAGAUACCGUCGUAGUCUUAA